rnacentral:rRNA from 1 species
CCUACGGGUGGCAGCAGUGGGGAAUAUUGCACAAUGGGGGAAACCCUGAUGCAGCGACGCCGCGUGAGUGAAGAAGUAAUUCGUUACGUAAAGCUCUAUCAGCAGGGAAGAAACACUGACCUUACGGUCAGCAGACGGUACCUGAGUAAGAAGCCCCGGCUAACUACGUGCCAGCAGCCGCGGUAAUACGUAGGGGGCAAGCGUUAUCCGGAUUUACUGGGUGUAAAGGGAGCGUAGACGGUGCGACAAGUCUGGAGUGAAAUGCCGCAGCUUAACUGCGGAACUGCUUUGGAAACUGGCGAACUAGAGUGGGGGAGAGGUAGGCGGAAUUCCUGGUGUAGCGGUGAAAUGCGUAGAUAUUAGGAGGAACACCGAUGGCGAAGGCGGCUUGCUGGACCGUAACUGACGUUGAGGCUCGAAAGCGUGGGGAGCAAACAGGAUUAGAUACCCUUGUAGUC